rnacentral:rRNA from 1 species
GAUGAACGCUAGCUACAGGCUUAACACAUGCAAGUCGAGGGGAAACGACAUCGAAAGCUUGCUUUUGAUGGGCGUCGACCGGCGCACGGGUGAGUAACGCGUAUCCAACCUGCCCACCACUUGGGGAUAACCUUGCGAAAGUAAGACUAAUACCCAAUGAUAUCCCACGAAGACAUCUGAAUGGGAUUAAAGAUUUAUCGGUGAUGGAUGGGGAUGCGUCUGAUUAGCUUGUUGGCGGGGUAACGGCCCACCAAGGCAACGAUCAGUAGGGGUUCUGAGAGGAAGGUCCCCCACAUUGGAACUGAGACACGGUCCAAACUCCUACGGGAGGCAGCAGUGAGGAAUAUUGGUCAAUGGGCGGGAGCCUGAACCAGCCAAGUAGCGUGCAGGAAGACGGCCCUAUGGGUUGUAAACUGCUUUUAUAAGGGAAUAAAGUGGGUCACGUGUGACUUUUUGCAUGUACCUUAUGAAUAAGGACCGGCUAAUUCCGUG